GGGUCAGUAGGUUGGUCGUGCCACCGGUACGUACUGGUCUCACUGAUUCCUCCUUCCUGAAGAACCGUAAUGCCAUUAAUUUGGCGUUGCGGGGAAACAGGACUGUUACUUUGAAAAAAUUAGAGUGUUUAAAGCAAGCUAACGCUUGAAUACAUUAGCAUGGAAAAAUGAAAUAGGACGAUCGAUCCUAUUUUGUUGGUUUCUAGGAUUGACGUA
rnacentral:rRNA from 1 species